GAGUUUGAUCAUGGCUCAGAACGUACGCUGGCGGCACGCCUAACACAUGCAAGUCGAACGAAGUAGCAAUACUUAGUGGCAGACGGGUGAGUAACAUGUAGGUAUCUGCCCUUUGGCCUGGAAUAACACGAGGAAACUUGUGCUAAUACCGGAUAAGUCUUUACGGAGAAAGCUUUAUGCACCAUUGGAUGAGCCCGCACUUGAUUAGUUUGUUGGUGGGGUAAUGGCCUACCAAGACUUUGAUCAAUAGCUGAUUUGAGAGGAUGAUCAGCCACAUUGGGACUGAGACACGGCCCAAACUCCUACGGGAGGCAGCAGUGGGGAAUCUUGCACAAUGGAGGAAACUCUGAUGCAGCGAUGCCGCGUGAGUGAAGAAGGCCCUUGGGUUGUAAAGCUCUUUCGUCGGGGAAGAAAAUGACUGUACCCGAAUAAGAAGGUCCGGCUAACUUCGUGCCAGCAGCCGCGGUAAUACAAAGGGACCUAGCGUAGUUCGGAAUUACUGGGCUUAAAGAGUUCGUAGGUGGUUGAAAUAGUUGGUGGUGAAAUCCCAGAGCUUAACUCUGGAACUGCCAUCAAAACUUUUCAGCUAGAGUAUGAUAGAGGAAAGCAGAAUUUCUAGUGUAGAGGUGAAAUUCGUAGAUAUUAGAAAGAAUACCAAUUGCGAAGGCAGCUUUCUGGAUCAUUACUGACACUGAGGAACGAAAGCAUGGGUAGCGAAGAGGAUUAGAUACCCUCGUAGUCCAUGCCGUAAACGAUGUGUGUUAGACGUUGGAAAUUUAUUUUCAGUGUCGCAGCGAAAGCGAUAAACACACCGCCUGGGGAGUACGACCGCAAGGUUAAAACUCAAAUGAAUUGACGGGGACCCGCACAAGUAGUGGAGCAUGUGGUUUAAUUCGAAGAUACGCGCAGAACCUUACCAACACUUGACAUGUUCGUCGCGACUUUAAGAGAUUAAAGUUUUCGGUUCGGCCGGACGAAACACAGGUGCUGCAUGGCUGUCGUCAGCUCGUGUCGUGAGAUGUUGGGUUAAGUCCCGCAACGAGCGCAACCCUCACUUUUAGUUGCCAUCAUUAAGUUGGGCACUCUGAGAGAACUGCCAGUGAUAAGCUGGAGGAAGGUGGGGAUGACGUCAAGUCCUCAUGGCCCUUACGUGUUGGGCUACACACGUGCUACAAUGGUAUCUACAACAGGAAGCAAGACUGCGAAGUUAAGCAAAUCCCUAAAAGAUACCUCAGUUCGGAUUGCACUCUGCAACUCGAGUGCAUGAAGCUGGAAUUACUAGUAAUCGUGGAUCAGCGUGCCACGGUGAAUGCGU
rnacentral:rRNA from 1 species